CGAGCCGUUAUCGUUGUCCGAACUGUGUCGACGCCGUGUCCGAAUCGAGAUGGGUGCCCAGCCGGAAGAUCACAUUGAGCAGCUGAUGAUUCCACCGAUUCUCAAGCGAUAUUUGAUGUAUCAGUAUUGAUUGAUUAUUGCAGCAUUUUCAUCAAGAAUUCACUUUUUUUUCAAAUUUUC
ensembl:snoRNA Y46E12BL.11 ncRNA